rnacentral:lncRNA from 1 species
ACUCCGCCUCCCCCGGCUCAGCCCCCGGCCGCGGCGGGACCCGAGGUGGGCUCAGCCUUCUUUCCUUCAAUUCCUGUUUCAGUCUCAUUUUCAUGGACUGGUCCCCAAACUUGUCUGCAUUGGAAGCACCUGGGGAGUUUCUAGACCUGAGCCUGUGCCCACCUCAUGAGGGUCUUACUCUGUCGCCCAGUCUGUAAUGCAGUGCUGUGACCAUAGCCCACUGCAGCCUCCACCUCCCAGGCUCAAGCAGUCCUUCCCCCCUCGCCCUCAUGAAUAGCUGGGACUACAGCCUGGAGCAUUGGUAAGCGUCACACUGCCAAAGUGAGAGCUGCUGGAGAACUCAUAAUCCCAGGAACGCCUCUUCUACUCUCCGAGUACCCCAGUGACCAGAGUGAGAGAAGCUCUGAACGAGGGCACGCGGCUUGAAGGACUGUGGGCAGAUGUGACCAAGAGCCUGCAUUAAGUUGUACAAUGGUAGAUGGAGUGAUGAUUCUUCCUGUGCUUAUCAUGAUUGCUCUCCCCUCCCCUAGUAUGGA